rnacentral:rRNA from 2 species
GUGGGCGCUGGAGAAUUGAGGGGGGCUGCUCCUAGUACGAGAGGACCGGAGUGGACGCAUCACUGGUGUUCGGGUUGUCAUGCCAAUGGCACUGCCCGGUAGCUAAAUGCGGAAGAGAUAAGUGCUGAAAGCAUCUAAGCACGAAACUUGCCCCGAGAUGAGUUCUCCCUGAGACUAUAAGUCUCCUGAAGGAACGUUGAAGACGACGACGUUGAUAGGCCGGGUGUGUAAGCGCAGCGAUGCGUUGAGCUAACCGGUACUAAUGAACCGUGAGGCUUAACCUU